AGCUGCCACAAACAGUCAACUAGCUAGCCGGCCUAGGCUAACCUGAACACUCCUUUGGCAGUUGAUACAUCAAAACAACAGGUACAAUCAUUGAAUCAAAUUACAAUAGCUACAAAAACUGAUAAAUAGCUAGCUGGUGUCAUUAAGCCUUUUAAAGUUAACUUCAAAAGGGGGGGUCAAGGGACCCCAUGGACCCCCUUCUGGAUCCGCCACUGACACUCUGUAUCUCCUGGUAGAGCCGCUCCUGGACCUCAGGGUUCUUAGCCAACUCAAACAGGAGCUUUGCAGAUUUAAUGAUCAUUACAAUGUGAAGUCAUACUAGAAGUCUACGAUACAGUGUGUAGCGCGGCUGCAAGUAGAGUUGAUGUGGCUGAAGAAGAGGUCAGAGAUGUUGUACUGAGCUUCCCAGAGUGGCAGGCAAACACUUUCGCGCGCUGUGGACUGCACUGGAAAGAGAGUUGUUCUGGCAGUGCAUGGCGUAAUGUUAGUCAUCGUUGCAGUCAGAAGUGGUUAGCUGUGGUCAAUUUAGAUCAACCUGAGGCGUACAGUGAACCCAAGGCUGUCAGGAAACUAGGGAGACAGAACAAGUACGAGAUCAAGGCAGUGUUGUGGAACCCUCACCUGGUGAAGGAGGACUUACUGGCCUCCACCUGCCAGCAGAAGCUGGAGGUCUGGAAUGUGAAUGCUGAGAGACAUCCUCUGGUACACUCCCUCAAGGCACACACUCGACCAGUCAGGAUAUAAAGAGGUUCUCGUUGCCCAGAGUGAUAUCUCUAGACAUUGGUGUCCCUGCCAACAAGAAGCCUUCACCGAGGGAACAGCUGUCUAAUCAGGUUGCCAACAUCUUUAAAAUGCAACGUCAAGCUCAACAGCUCAAAUAAGAUGUGACUAGACUGAUAGCCAGUAACUACCCUGGUGGCGUCAUCUUUACACAGCUGGCUUCUUUCACCUCACAAUUUGCAAAGGCCCUGAAUGAAUCUACCCAGCCGUCUGUCCUGGCCACUCGACUGAAGCUCCCACUACGGUCUACCCCCGGGCAGCGGAAGUCGUGUGGGGGGUCUCAUCGUGUUGUGGUUAGUCCAGCUCAGUUCUCUCUGUUGCACUCCAGCCUGAUCAGCUGACUAUGAACAGAUGUCUAGUAUAAAUUGAACAUAGUAAUAUAAAUUAUGUAAACAAAACCUUCCUAAUUUGUGACCUGCAUAGAAUUCUUAUAUCAUUGUAAAGUAUUGUAUGUACAAUUUUAUCGUCACAUCACCAUUUUUUGUUGAAGCUUAAUAUUAAUUGUUGAACUGUACCGUGUCAUAUAUAUAGGGGGGAGACUG